AACGUACGCUGGCGGCACGCUUAACACAUGCAAGUCGAACGAAGUAGCAAUACUUAGUGGCAGACGGGUGAGUAACAUGUGGGUAUCUGCCCUUUGGCCUGGAAUAACACGAGGAAACUUGUGCUAAUACCGGAUAAGUCUUUACGGAGAAAGCUUUAUGCACCAUUGGAUGAGCCCGCACUUGAUUAGUUUGUUGGUGGGGUAAUGGCCUACCAAGACUGUGAUCAAUAGCUGAUUUGAGAGGAUGAUCAGCCACAUUGGGACUGAGACACGGCCCAAACUCCUACGGGAGGCAGCAGUGGGGAAUCUUGCACAAUGGAGGAAACUCUGAUGCAGCGAUGCCGCGUGAGUGAAGAAGGCCCUUGGGUUGUAAAGCUCCUUCGUCGGGGAAGAAAAUGACUGUACCCGAAUAAGAAGGUCCGGCUAACUUCGUGCCAGCAGCCGCGGUAAUACGAAGGGACCUAGCGUAGUUCGGAAUUACUGGGCUUAAAGAGUUCGUAGGUGGUUGAAAAAGUUAGUGGUGAAAUCCCAGAGCUUAACUCUGGAACUGCCAUUAAAACUUUUCAGCUAGAGUAUGAUAGAGGAAAGCAGAAUUUCUAGUGUAGAGGUGAAAUUCGUAGAUAUUAGAAAGAAUACCAAUUGCGAAGGCAGCUUUCUGGAUCAUUACUGACACUGAGGAACGAAAGCAUGGGUAGCGAAGAGGAUUAGAUACCCUCGUAGUCCAUGCCGUAAACGAUGUGUGUUAGACGUUGGAAAUUUAUUUUCAGUGUCGCAGCGAAAGCGAUAAACACACCGCCUGGGGAGUACGACCGCAAGGUUAAAACUCAAAUGAAUUGACGGGGACCCGCACAAGUAGUGGAGCAUGUGGUUUAAUUCGAAGAUACGCGCAGAACCUUACCAACACUUGACAUGUUCGUCGCGACUCUAAGAGAUUAGAGUUUUCGGUUCGGCCGGACGAAACACAGGUGCUGCAUGGCUGUCGUCAGCUCGUGUCGUGAGAUGUUGGGUUAAGUCCCGCAACGAGCGCAACCCUCACUUUUAGUUGCCAUCAUUUAGUUGGGCACUCUGAAAGAACUGCCAGUGAUAAGCUGGAGGAAGGUGGGGAUGACGUCAAGUCCUCAUGGCCCUUACGUGUUGGGCUACACACGUGCUACAAUGGUAUCUACAACAGGAAGCAAGACUGCGAGGUCAAGCAAAUCCUUAAAAGAUACCUCAGUUCGGAUUGCACUCUGCAACUCGAGUGCAUGAAGCUGGAAUUACUAGUAAUCGUGGAUCAGCGUGCCACGGUGAAUGCGUUCCCGGGUCU
rnacentral:rRNA from 1 species